rnacentral:rRNA from 1 species
CCUACGGGAGACAGCAGUGGGGAAUCUUGCACAAUGGGGGAAACCCUGAUGCAGCGACGCCGCGUGAGUGAAGAAGUAAUUCGUUAUGUAAAGCCCUAUCAGCAGGGAAGAAAAUGACGGUACCUGACUAAGAAGCCCCGGCUAACUACGGGCCAGCAGCCGCGGUAUUACGUAGGGGGAAAGCGUUAUCCGGCUUUACUGGGUGUAAAGGGAGCGUAGUCGGGAGUGCAAGUCUGGAGUGAAAGGCGGGGGCUCAACCCCCGGACUGCUCUGGAAACUGUACGGCUGGAGUGCAGGAGAGGUAAGUGGAAUUCCUGGUGUAGCGGUGAAAUGCGUAGAUAUUAGGAGGAACACCAGUGGCGAAGGCGGCUUACUGGACUGUAACUGACGUUGAGGCUCGAAAGCGUGGGGAGCAAACAGGAUUAGAUACCCUUGUAGUC